rnacentral:rRNA from 1 species
AUAUCAGUCAUGCAUAGCAUAUCAAUAAGCGGAGGAAAAGAAACUAACAAGGAUUCCCUUAGUAACGGCGAGUGAAGCGGGAAGAGCUCAAAUUUGAAAUCUUCAAGGUUUUACCUUGACGAAUUGUAGUUUAAAGAAGUGUUUUCUGUUGAAGUUUUGGUAAAAGUUCUUUGGAAUAGGACAUCAUAGAGGGUGAGAAUCCCGUAUUUGACCAUUACUUUCAGCUUUGUGAUACACUUUCAAAGAGUCGGAUUGUUUGGGAAUGCAGUCCAAAAUGGGUGGUAAAUUUCAUCUAAAGCUAAAUAUUGGCGAGAGACCGAUAGCGAACAAGUACCGUGUAGGGAAAGAUGAAAAGAACUUUGAAAAGAGAGUUAAACAGUACGUGAAAUUGUCAAAGGGGAAGCGUUUGACACCAGUGUUGUUUUCUCGAAAAUCAAUUAAAAAGAGUUGGAUUUUGUGUUGUAUUGACUUUAUCAGCUUUCUUCACUCUUUUCCAGCUUUUUUUAAUGCACUUUUCGUUUAACAAGUCAACAUCAGUUUCUUUUGUUGUAAAAAGGUCAUUGGAAGGUGGCUUUCUCUUCGGAGAAAGUGUUUAUAGCCUUUGACUCAUGCAAUCGGAGAGACUGAGGUCUGCAGCGUAGAUCCUUCGGGGUUAGAUACAUUUGUGCUAAGUUAUAGCUUUUCAUAGACAACUUGUUGACUAUGUUUAGUCUUGUAGCUUACUCGCUUAUGCUAUUUUACCUACGCUUAGGAUGUUGAACUCUAUCACACACAG